rnacentral:rRNA from 1 species
GACGAACGCUGGCGGCGUGCCUAAUACAUGCAAGUCGAACGCUGAAGGAGGAGCUUGCUUCUCUGGAUGAGUUGCGAACGGGUGAGUAACGCGUAGGUAACCUGCCUGGUAGCGGGGGAUAACUAUUGGAAACGAUAGCUAAUACCGCAUAAGAGUAGAUGUCGCAUGACAUUUGCUUAAAAGGUGCAAUUGCAUCACUACCAGAUGGACCUGCGUUGUAUUAGCUAGUUGGUGUGGUAACGGCUCACCAAGGCAACGAUACAUAGCCGAACGGAGAGGGUGAGCAGCCGCACUGAGACGGUGACCGGGCACAGACGGCCACGGGAGGCAGCAGGAGGGAAUCUGCAGGAAGGGACGGAAGACUGACCGAGAAACGCCGAGGGAGUGAAGAAGGUUUUCGGAUCGGAAAGCUCUGUUGUAGGGGAAGAACGAGUGUGAGAGUGGAAAGUUCACACUGUGACGGUAUCUUACCAGAAAGGGACGGCUAACUACGUG